rnacentral:misc_RNA from 1 species
GAAAUGCGAUAAGUAAUGUGAAUUGCAGAAUUCAGUGAAUCAUCGAAUCUUUGAACGCACAUUGCGCCCGCCAGUAUUCUGGCGGGCAUGCCUGUUCGAGCGUCAUUUCAACCAUCAAGCCCCCGGCUUGUGUUGGGGACCUGCGGCUGCCCGCAGGCCCUGAAAAACAGUGGCGGGCUCGCUGUCACACCGAGCGUAGUAGCAUACAUUCUCGCUCAGGGCGUGCUGCGGGUUCCGGCCGUUAAACGACCUUCAUAACCCAAGGUUGAUCUCGGAUCAGGUAGGAAGACCCGCUGAACUUAAGC